ACAAUGUUAGGGUUUCCCAAUUAACAUUUCCUUGGAGAUGAACCCAAUUAAUUGUUCAGCCCCCAACAGCAAUAAAUGCAGUCUUCUAAACGCAAUGAAUCAGGUAACCUCUCACACCUGGGUACAUCCCAACUUAGUAGCAUUAACAAGAAAAAUGGACUUAAGAAAAACAUUAAAAAUAUGACUCAAACAUUUACUUUUAGGGCAGAAAAAGAGGGAUGGAAACUUAUAUUACUUUCCAAAAAGUAAAGAUGUUAAUGGCCUCUUAUAGAAAUUAAAACUGCAAACAGGCUAGUAUUCCCAGGCCAUUUUACAGAAACAUUUAAGACCAUCCCAAACUAAAAGAAAUGCUUGCCUUGCUGAAAUGGGAAAUGGUUCUGUCUUCACCAGCCUAUGAAAACCAACGUCCCAAGUCUGCAUAUCUCACAAGUAUCUCUUCCAAGUUUCAGAUUUGUUUAUCUGAGAUAGCCAGCUUCUCCAAACAAAUUGAAAACUAGAGGCAAAGAUACCUAAAUCAAACAUUUAAAUAUAUUCUUCAAGAUAUAACACAGUGCUGUGGCAGGCAACUCGAUGAACAGCAUGAAUUAAAUGUUGGAAAAAAGUAUCAUUGCAAGGUUAGGCAUCUUUACCCUUGUCUCACGGAUAAAUCCCUUUAAAGUUCUGUUGGCCUGUGGGUUCAUGUGCUCACUUUUCAGUACACAGAGUAAGUUCUUCAGAUCCCAAGUUUUCUAAAACCGAAUACAAGCCGCCUCCGCCAAAUACUUUUGAAAAAUGUUUAAUAAUCUUUUUUUCUUUAUUAAGGGCCCAGCUUUACUGGAGUAUGGUGCUCCCUCAGCCAAGGGCAUAUCGUUUCCAACUCCCGAAUGGGUAACUAAGCAGGCUGAUUUCUCAUCUUCUGGAAAAGACGACAACUACAUCUGGGAAGACGAGCCUCACACUCUGCACUUACAUGCACUUCCUUGACCAUAUAAAUUCUGGCCCACCACAAAGAGGGCCAAACAUGAGGCUUGUCAUUCUUAUAUCCCAAUCUAGUUCCCAAAGUCUUUACUGCAGUGGUUCCUGGGGUGGGGGCAGUGGUUUCCGGACCAGCAGCAUCAGUAUCUCUUGGGAACUUGUUACCAAUGCACAUUCUCUGGCCCCAGCCCAGGACCUACUGAACCAGCACCUCUGGGAGCUGAGGCGCAGCUCCCCAGGUAAAUGAUGCCCUCAAGUUUGAGAACUAGUGUUGCACUGCAGUCGCUGUCAAACCUUGUUGUACCCUCAGAGCCUGCAGGUGGCACUAAAGGCCAGAAGGAAGAAUUGCAGGAGCUGGUAGCUCAAGUUUUUAACUGUUAAGAGUUCCUGCCCCCCUGACCACACAGCUCUUUCUAGCAGUUCCAACAGCUGCUCAGUCUCCCCCAAUGCCUUAAAAGGUCACAGUAGAUCUCAGCUCUGAACAGAAACUCAACUGAAACUCUUCCCACAACCCAGCAGUGGAUACAUUAAAACCUACAAUUUUCAGGGAUACAAUCAAUAUUUAAUUCUUUUGAGGGUUUUGUGUUUAAUACAAAGACACAAACACGUAUAAAAUGACGAUGUCAAUACUGAUUAAACAGAACAACAAAAUAAGAAGCUCAAAUUAUCAUCAGCUAUUGUGUAUAUCUGAAAUAACAAUAAUGCACUCGAUUCUGAAAGAAUGAUUAGAGUUCCUACCCUGCAAAUCUAAUUGUCUUGAUGUGACGAAGUGAGAAGAAAGGAUGAUUUUUCUAAUGAAAAGCAUGUAUACGGGUAGCCCUUUGCGAGAUUCUGUCAAAACCCUGAAUUUUGCGUUAGCUGUUUUACCACCCAAACGUUUUUACUGAGGAUGUGCAGCAAUGGGAACUCUCAUACACUGCUUGUGGGAAUAUAAAUCAGUAUAACCACUUUGGAAAACCAUUUAACAUUGUCAACUACAGCUCUACACACAAGUACUAGAACCAGCCAUUCCACUCCAGGGUAUACACCCCAGAGAUAUGAGUGCCCAUGUCUACCAAAAGCCGCCUAAAGGAAUGCUCUGAGAAGUGUAACUUGUAAUAGUUGCAAACUGGAAACAACCCAAAUGUCCAUCCACAGUAGAGAUACAUAGUAUGGAUACUCAUACAAUUAAACAGAAGCAGCAAUGAAAAAACUAACCAACCAACCAAACAACUGCUACAACAUGAAUGAAUUUCACAAGGAUGAAUCUUUCAGAGUGAAAGAAGCCAGACACAAAGGGGUACACUCUUAUUCAAACAGGCACCUCUGGUGACAGAGGUCAGCAUAGAGGUUCCUGGGGCUAUCUAGGAACAGGCAUGAGGUGUUAUUGGAAACAGUCUACAUCUUGAAUUGGGGGAUGGCUACUAGGGUGGUGUAUACGUAUGAAAAGUUCAGUGAGUUGCAUACUUAAAAUCCGUACACUUUAUGUAUGUUUUAUUUUUAGAGGCAAAAAAAUAUUAUUGACAGCCUGUCAUGUAAACAUUUUCAAUAACCAUCAUAAAACUCUAAACUCCUGGGAAAGAAUAUUGUUAUCAGAGUAUAUUUACUGCAACAAACACUGCAUUUGCUGAGCUAAACUCAAAACUUAAUACAGGGAACAGGAGAUGUUCCUUUUUUCCAAUGUUACAUAUAUAAAAAGACCAAACCUUUCUGGCUUGCACUCCCUAGGCCAAAUUCCUUUAACUGUGUCAUUUAAUCGGUCCUUCCUUGUGUGGCACUGGCUGUCCACUGUCCCAAGCCCUCGCAUGUCCUGGAUGGCCGGUCAUCAUCCACACGGGGGCUGAAAGGCCCGGCUCCAGCACUCCUGUGGUCAUCAUCCUGCUGAAUCGCUUUGAACUACCCUUGGCCUAACCACGACUCCCAUCCCGCUUCCCUCCUGCCUCGCCACUGCAGGCCUGUGCCUUUGCUUUCUUAAAACUGCGCACCGUCUGAGGCCACUUCGAGCCUACUGGAUCCCUGGUUCCAACCCAGUAGGAUCACAGAAGCAGGGCCAGCUGCCAGGAGAAAAAGUUGUUCUCUUCUACCAAAUUUUCCUGCCAUCAAAUGCUCAUUGAGUGACAAUAGAGAAAGCACCAUCAUCCUCAAGCAUCAGAUUGGGAGAAAAGUCCGCUCUCGAGAGCAUCAACUAUGUAGAAAGGGGACCAAGUAAAGGCAAAAUAGACCUUCAGAGAAAUAAAGUCUGGGAAAUUGACUAGAUCCUCACUGAAAGAACUACUAAAGGAUGUACUUAUGGAAGAAGAAAAUUACGAAAUGAAAGAACUGGGAUGCAAGAAGUAAUGUCCAGACUGGCUGGAGCCUCUCCAGGCAGCGCAGAGUCAAGGCAGGAACCAGCCCUGGACAGGACACCAUCCCAUUGCAGUAUGCACUCUCAUACACCCAUACUCCCCCAGACCGGGACACUUCAGACACGCCAACUCACCUAAUGCGCGGCUCUCUGGGAGGGCUGCUCCUGUGCCAUGAGGAGUAAGGGAGAUGGCUCACAGCUGGUCUCUACACAUGUUAGCUAUUUGCCUUAUUACACUCACAGAUAGGGCAGCUUAGAGUACAGUAAGUUUCUCUAUUCUACAUCAUUUGUUUGCCACAUACACCUAUGUCUUUUUCUUCUUUUAGCAAUGACUAUUACUUUUCUGUGAUACCUCUUUAAGCUAUAUAAUGCCCAACAUUCUAUCUUAAGCAAAAUACUUAGCCACACAUCUUUAAAACCGCAAAGACCUACUAAAGUUUUAAGCUGUAACUAAAAUUUUGUAACUAAAUGCACCUCAUAUCCCUACAGAUCCAACAUGCCAUAAUAUCAACAUCCCUGAAGCUGAAAUUUGUGCCAUACUCCCAUGGUGCUUUCAAAGUUCCUGGGGCUGUUAAAAGGCCCUGCAGCUGUUGUUUUCAUUAGCACCUGAAGUGCAUAGGAGGUGCUCUGACAGUAUUUGUCAAUCAUCAUCUACUGCCUCAAAAUGAUGCCAAACACAAACUUUCCCACAAAGGAAAUUGUGUCAAAGUUAAUUCUUCAACAGUAGCUCUUAAUGCACCAAAGAAAAUUGACUUGUAUUCGGCUUAUCUUCUUUUGAAUGUCAUGAGUGAUAUAUAAUUUGAUAAAAAAAUUGCUUCUCCCCAUUCUACUUUUUCUUUUUGUUUUUUUGAGGGGAGGUUUUAUUAUUAUUAUUAUUAUUGUGAAAAAACACAAAACAUAAAAUUUAACAUCUUAACCUUUUUUUUGGUUUUUUUGAGACGGAGUCUUACUGUGUUGCCUAGGCUGGAGUGCAGUGGCGCCAUCUCUGCUCACUGCAACCUCCGACUCCUGGGUUCAAGUGAUUCUCCUGCCUCAGCCUCCCAAGUAGCUGGGAUUACAGGCGUGCGCCACCCCGCCCAACUAAUUUUUGUAUUUUUAGUAGAGAUGGAGUUUUGCCAUGUUGGCCAGGCUGGUCUUGAACUCCUGAUCUCAAAUGAUCUGCCCGCCUCAGCCUCCCAAAGUGCUGGGAUUAAAGGCAUAAGCCACCACGCCCAGCCCAUCUUAACCAUUUUUAAGUGGCAUUAAGUACAUUCACAUUGUCGUGAAACAGAUCUCCAGAACUUUUUUAUCUCGCAAAACUGAAACUCUAUGCCCAUUAAAAAAAUCCUCAUUUUCUUUUGCUUCCAGCCCCUGGUAACCACCAUUCUGCUUUCUGUCUCUAUGAAUUUGACUACUUUAGAUACCUCAUGUAAGCAGAAUCACAGUAUUUGUCUUUUUGUUAACUGGCUUAUUUUACUUAGCAUAAUGUCCUCAUGGUUCAUCUAUGUUGCAGCAUGUGACAGAACUUUCUUACUUUUUAAGGCUGAAUAAUAUCCCAUUUUAUGAAUUUACUACAUUUUGUUUAUCCAUUCAUGUCAAUGGACAUUUGUGUUGCUUGUAGCUCUUGACUAUAGAGAAUCAUGCUGCUCUGAACGUGAAUGUACAAAUAUCUCUUCAAUAUACUGACUUCAAAUUAUUUGGAUAUAUAUCCAGAAGUGGAAUUGCUGGAUCAUAUGGUAGUUCUAUUUUUAAUAUUUUGAGGAACCUCUAUACUGUUUUCCAUAGCAGCUGCACAAUUUUACAGGCCCACCAAUUGUGCAUAAAGGUUCCAAUUUCUCCACCUCAUCAUCAACACUCGAUAUUUUAUGUUUAUUGUUUUUUUUUUAGAGUAACCAUCCUAAGAGUGUGAGGUAAUAUCUCAUUGUAGUUUUGAUUUGCAUUUCUCUGAUAAAUAGUAACAUUGAGCAGCUUUUCAUAUGCUUGUUGACCAUUUGUAUCUCUUUGGAGAAAGGCUUAUUUAAUUCAUUUGCCUAUUUUUUAAUUGGUUCAUUUGAUUUUUUGUGGUUGAGUUGUAGAAGUUUUUAUGUAUUCUGGAUAUUAACCCCUUAUCACAUAUAUGAUUUGCAAAUAUUUUCUUCCAUUCUGUAGGUUGCCUUGUCACUUUGUUGAUUGCUUCCUUUGAUGAACAAGAAUUGUUUAAAUUUGAUAUAAUCCCAUUCAUCUAUUUUAUCUUUUUUUGCCUGUGCUAUUGGUGUUGUAUUCAAGAAAUCAUUGCCAAGUCCAAUGUCAUGGAGCUUUUCCCCUAGGUUUUCUUCUAGGGGUUUUAUAGUUUUGGGUUUUUCAUUUGGUCUUUAAUCCAUUUUGAGCUAGCUUUUGUGUGUGGUAUAAGAGAAGAGUCCAACUUUAUUCUUUUGCAUGUGGCUAUUCAAUUUUCCCAACACUAUUUGUUGAAGAGGCUGCUCUUCUCUCAUUAAGUGGUGUUGGUAUCCUUGUUGAAGAUCACUUGACCAUAUAUGUGAGGGUUUAUUUCUGAGUUCUCACCUCUGUUCCAUUGGUCUGUAUAUCUUUCUUUAUCCCAGUAUGACACUGUUUUGAUUACUGUAGUUUUGUAAUAUAUUUUGAAAUCAGAAAGUAUGUAUCCUCCAACUUUGUUCUUUUUCCAAAUCGUUUUGGCUAUUCAGGGUAACUUGACAUUCCAUAUGGAUUUUAGGAUAAAUUUUUCUGUUUCUAAAAAAAAUGCCAUUGGAAUUUUGAUAGAAAUUGCAUUAAAUCUGUAAUCACUUUGGGUGGUAUGGACAUAUUAACAAUAUUAAGUCUUCCAGUCCAUGAACAUGAGGUAUUUUUCAAUUUAUUCACAUAUUCUUAAUUUCUUUCAGCAAUGUUUUAUAAUUUUUAGUGUAUGCGUCUUUCACAUUUUUGUUUAGGUUUAUUCCUAAAUGUGUUAUUUAUUUUGAUGCUAGUAUAAGCAAAAUUGUUUCCUUAAUUUUCUUUUCAGAUUAUUCAUUGUUAAUAUACAGAAACCACUGUUUCUUCACAGUAUUAAAGACAUAUGUGUCACAUAAACACAAAACCAUCAGCUCAAGGUUUUUUGUAGAUUAUUGUAGUUUUUAUUUUAUAAGAUAAUGUUGCAAUGUAAAACAUUAAAAUUUAAAGUGUUCAAUU